rnacentral:rRNA from 1 species
UACGGAGGAUGCAAGCGUUAUCCGGAAUGAUUGGGCGUAAAGCGUCCGCAGGUGGCUAUGUAAGUCUGCUGUUAAAGAGUGAGGCUCAACCUCAUAAAAGCAGUGGAAACUACUUGGCUAGAGUGCGUUCGGGGCAGAGGGAAUUCCUGGUGUAGCGGUGAAAUGCGUAGAUAUCAGGAAGAACACCGGUGGCGAAAGCGCUCUGCUAGGCCGCAACUGACACUGAGGGACGAAAGCUAGGGGAGCGAAUGGG